rnacentral:rRNA from 1 species
UGGGGAAUAUUGCACAAUGGGCGAAAGCCUGAUGCAGCGACGCCGCGUGAGGGAUGACGGCCUUCGGGUUGUAAACCUCUUUCAGCAGGGACGAAGCGCAAGUGACGGUACCUGCAGAAGAAGCACCGGCUAACUACGUGCCAGCAGCCGCGGUAAUACGUAGGGUGCAAGCGUUGUCCGGAAUUACUGGGCGUAAAGAGUUCGUAGGCGGUUUGUCGCGUCGUUUGUGAAAACCAGCAGCUCAACUGCUGGCUUGCAGGCUAUACGGGCAGACGUGAGUACUGCAGGGGAGACUGGAAUUCCUGGUGUAGCGGUGAAAUGCGCAGAUAUCAGGAGGAACACCGGUGGCGAAGGCGGGUCUCUGGGCAGUAACUGACGCUGAGGAACGAAAGCGUGGGUAGCGAACAGG